GAUGAAGAACGCAGCGAAAUGCGAUAAGUAGUGUGAAUUGCAGAAUUCAGUGAAUCAUCGAAUCUUUGAACCCACAUUGCGCCCUUUGGUAUUCCUUAGGGCAUGCCUGUUCGAGCGUCAUUUGAAACCUCAAGCUCAGCUUGGUGUUGGGUGUCUGUCCCCGCCUCACCGCGGGGACUCGCCUCAAAAUCAUUGGCGGCCGGUACGUUGGCUUCGAGCGCAGCAGAAACGCGAACUCGAGGCCCGGCGGAUCGGCGACCAGAAGUCACUUCUUCACAGUUUGACCUCGGAUCAGGUAGGGAUACCCGCUGAACUUAAGCAUAUCAAUAAGCGGAGGA
rnacentral:misc_RNA from 1 species